rnacentral:misc_RNA from 1 species
GAUGAAGAACGUAGCGAAAUGCGAUACGUAAUGUGAAUUGCAGAAUUCAGUGAAUCAUCGAAUCUUUGAACGCACAUUGCGACUGCCAGCACUCUGGCAGGCAUGCCUGUUCGAGCGUCAUUUCAACCAUCAAGCCCUAGGCUUGCGUUGGAGCCCUGCGGCUGCCGCAGGCCCCUAAAAGCAGUGGCGGGCUCGCUAUCACACCGAGUGCAGUAGAUUACUCUUCGCUCAGGGCGUGUGGCGGGUUCCAGCCGUGAAACCCCCUACUUCUCAAGGUUGACCUCGGAUCAGGUAGGAAUACCCGCUGAACUUAAGCAUAUCAUAAGCGGAGGA